GCUCAGCUGAAGGCCCAACACAAAUAGGGAAAAGGGUAUAGUGACUCAGUUUCACUCUCAUUUUAAUUUCUCUCCAUCAUACAUGCUCUCUCCUUCCCUUUUAAGACUUACCUCGCCAGAAAUCGCUCUGUCAUGCCAGAGGUGGCGGAGCAACCCAGCCUAGCCAAAACAACCACCAAUCAGAUGGUUUUUACCUCCUUCAUUCACCUCUUACCCUUAAUUCAACUAAAAAAGCCUCUGAAUCCUUCGUUUCAAUCAUAACACCUCAAGAACCCUAAAAAUUCUAAACCAAAAUUAAAUGGCUACCAUCCACAUAUCCGUGUUAAUACCUUAAGGCUAUUACUUAGUAACUCAAGGGCUACAAAGAGGUAACAAAUUUGAAGCAAAAUUAGGAAGAAUAAAGGAAGCUACUUGCAAAGCGGAGAAUUACCCUGGGGAUUGUUGAAGUUGCUUGAAGAAGAUGAUGCAUAGAGAAAAUACCAGAGAAUUGAUCAGGGUGAACUUGGCUUGGCAUGAAGAUGUAGUCAUCAAGAUUGGAAUGGAAUUUAAAAGUUGGAAUGAUAUCAUGGACAAGGAAAGAUUUUGGAUUGCAUCAAGAACAUGGAUCAAUGGAAUGUCUUGAGGAUGAAGACAAAAGUAGGCUAGGGUUAGUUUAACUUUGGUCAACUGUUUGACCAAAAUUCAACUUUAGGUUAAAAAAGGAUUUUUCUGUAUGUAAUUUGUGGUUUUAAUUUUGUAAUGAAAUUUGAUAUUUGUAAUGAGAUUCUUGGCCUUUGAAUAGCCAUUUUCCACAUGAUUUCUCAAGAAUAA